GUCAGGAUAGCUCAGUUGGUAGAGCGGAGGAUAAUUAGUCCUUAGUCACCAGUUCAAUUCUGGUUCCUGGCA
rfam:Spinacia oleracea cultivar SynViroflay scaffold9624.con0001.1, whole genome shotgun sequence.